AUAGCUUUAUACGACCCAUAAUGCGUAUAAAAACAGGCCGAGUCGGUCCGGCAGUGCACAAAGCCGACUCUAGUUGGAGUCCCAUCAGUCCAUGUACUCCAACUGGUCAUGGGAUGGUUUGGUGCGGGCGGCGGCUGGUGCUGCCUUUGUGCGAGCAGCGAGCGAGAGCGAGCAGGCGAGAGGUCGGCGCCAGGCUCUGGCGUGCACCAUGAGGCCUCGCGUCUUAGCGAGAGCGCGCCGGCCCCUACGGGAAACGGGCCGCGCUGAUCACGGGAAAUGGCGCUUGCGGGCGCUACCGUGGCACGAGGC
rnacentral:lncRNA from 1 species